GGAUCCUCGUCGACGCACUGCUUUGCCAACAUCGCAACCUACAGAAGAAUUGUAAACAGCACAACAAAGAGGAGAUCAGAUGAAUAUUCUACAAAGAAACCAGGAGUGAGUUAUACUAUGGGCAACUUCAAUUCAGUAAAAGUGAAUCAAGCGCGAUGACUACGUUCUUACUUUCCGAUUGGAGUUCUAAUAGGUGUGAGUCAUCAGCUGCAGUGAUUUUGGCCUAGAGAAGCUUGCGGAAUAUCCAGAGGACCACCGCUGACAAGUAACAACUGGGCUACCAUUCAAGAGCAUCAUGCAUGGGUAAAUCGACUAUAGGUAACCGUGAUUCUAUUAUCUAAUUCUUUCUUUGCCAUUUCAAGUCCCGACUUUGUGUGUUUUCAGUUCCUGGACAUCCAUCCUAUAUUGAGAUUAUCUCAUGAUUUUCAUCUCGCCUUGCCAUGUUUAAUUCUUCACCGAAUAAAUAAGUUGAUAACGACCUCAGAAACGGGGUAAGCCUAUUA